rnacentral:lncRNA from 1 species
GUGGAAGUUGGGCGCCAUGGCAGGGCCUCGUCCAUCCAGCCUGGGCCGCGCUGGCCGGAGCAGACCGCAAGCGGCCCGCUGGGAGCCCAGCCAAGAGCGGUGUUUUUCCAGGUCCGCGCAGGGCCACGGGAACCCGCGUGUUUGUUUGGUGGGAAUGGAUUCCUGGAAAACUAGACGGAAGGCUCUCCCAGCUGCUGGCUCCGCUCUGUUGAUGGAUACCAUCCAGUGUCACCACAGGGGCUUCCAGUGCCUGGAAUUUUGGUGGGAGGAGAGCAACUUCAGGAAUGAAGGCCCAACCAUCGGCUGUCUCUGGAGAGCACGUUGUCCUGUCAGCAUCUUGGCUCAGCACUGUGGGAUAAAAACACAAAGAAAUAAUAAAAAAUGCAAAGAGUUUAUACAGGACUUAGUAUGUGCACCAAGCACCAUUUUUUAAAGUUUUGUUUAUUUUUAAAUGUUUCUGUCGUAGUUGAUUUACAACGUCCUUCCCAUUUCUGCCCUGCAGCAGAGUGACCCCUCAUCCCUACAUACGCAUUCUUUUUCUCCUACGGUCUCCCUUCGUGGUCUAUCCCAAGAGACUGCAUCGAGUUCCCUGCGCUGUACGGCAGGACCGCAUUGCUUACGGAUUCUGAAUGUAACAGUUUGCAUCCGUAGGAACUAACUUGAUCCAACCAUAGGAGGUGGGUGGUUGAAGAGAGGCGGGGGUGGGGGAAAAACAGAGGGUUUGACUUACCUGAGUUCGCAGAGCUAGUCAGGUGCAUGCGACGGGAGAAAGAAUGCAAGACGCUCAUUGAUAACAGGAUCCGCGUUGGCCUGAAUUCACCAUCUUGUCGAGGAGAGCAGAGAAGCUAAGGGUUUGAAGGCGAGGGAUGGAUGGGACCCAGAGGCUUCCUGGGCCCGUUUUGUCAGUCCCUCUCGAAGGCCCAGCCUUCCUCCUGCGCCCUCGGAGGGGGCUGAGGAUGGAUGCUGGCCUCUGGGACCAUUCCGCACAGGUGUGCUGGCAACCCCCAGCCCCGGCCCAACCCCCCUCCUGCUCUCCUUUCUCUGGGUAUCGUAAUUAUUUGGGAAUUUACGGAAUAAUCCGUCACCAAGCCCUCCAGAACAAAUUGAAUGUCAGGUUUAUGAAACAACCUAAUAAAGCAGAUGGCAUUUUAC